rnacentral:lncRNA from 1 species
UUAUGUGAAUUAGGAUGGCUCAUCUAAAUAAUUCCUGAUCAGAGGCUUUAACUAAAGCCAGGAUGGUCUGCCUGGGGCGUGAAGGAGCGGUAAGGUCAGUGAUUUAAAAAGUGCCUUUGUGAAGUCACUUUUAUGGGAGAGGACUGCUACGCCUGUGUUUUCAAAACACUGUCUUUGCCAGCUAGACGUUGCCUUGACCUUACCCGUGGCGGAAGAUACCUCAACUGUCUUGAUUUGCCAAUUAAUUGAUGGGAAACUGAACUCACCGUAAGAGCGGGAAGAAGGAAUUAUUAUUACUGGGACACGAACAAAUGAACGCAUUGCUUUUCUUGUGUAAUCAGUACCAGCAAGCGACCUGCGGCGGACUAAUAUUCCAUCCAAGAGUGCCAUUGCAUUGAAGGACGUGUGCUUGAACCUGGUGCAGCAGUGAUACAGUCAGCAGACCCACACGUUUUACAGACAGAAAUGCUCCUGAGCAUGAUCUUCUUCAGCCAAAAGUCUACAAGCGGGACUUAAUGAUUGAUGAGUAACUGCUCGCUGAUAAACUUUCUCUGUUUAUUCAGUGUUGUGUGAGUUGGACAUCGUUAAUCGUCCUCCCCC